UACAGAGGUGGCAAGCGUUGUUCGGAAUUACUGGGCGUAAAGGGCGCGUAGGCGGCCUUCUAAGUCAGACGUGAAAUCCCCCGGCUUAACCUGGGAACUGCGUCUGAUACUGGGAGGCUUGAGUAUGGGAGAGGGAUGUAGAAUUCCAGGUGUAGCGGUGAAAUGCGUAGAUAUCUGGAGGAAUACCGGUGGCGAAGGCGGCAUCCUGGACCAUUACUGACGCUGAGGCGCGAAAGCUAGGGGAGCAAACGGGGAUUAAGAAACCC
rnacentral:rRNA from 1 species